rnacentral:rRNA from 1 species
ACGCUCGACACCUACGGAGGCAGCAGUGAGGAAUAUUGGUCAAUGGGCGCUAGCCUGAACCAGCCAAGUAGCGUGAAGGAUGAAGGCUCUAUGGGUCGUAAACUUCUUUUAUAUAAGAAUAAAGUGCAGUAUGUAUACUGUUUUGUAUGUAUUAUAUGAAUAAGGAUCGGCUAACUCCGUGCCAGCACGCCGGACGGUAAUCUGAGGCGGGCUGGACAAGGC